AUUGAACGCUGGCGGCAGGCUUAACACAUGCAAGUCGAGCGGAGAUGAGGUGCUUGCACCUUAUCUUAGCGGCGGACGGGUGAGUAAUGCUUAGGAAUCUGCCUAUUAGUGGGGGACAACAUUCCGAAAGGAAUGCUAAUACCGCAUACGUCCUACGGGAGGAAGCAGGGGAUCUUCGGACCUUGCACUAAUAGAUGAGCCUAAGUCGGAUUAGCUAGUUGGUGGGGUAAAGGCCUACCAAGGCGACGAUCUGUAGCGGGUCUGAGAGGAUGAGCCGCCACACUGGGACUAAGACACGGCCCAGACGCCUACAGGAGGCAGCAGUGGGGAAUAUUGGACAAUGGGGGGAACCCUGAUCCAGCCAUGCCGCGUGUGUGAAGAAGGCCUUAUGGUUGUAAAGCACUUUAAGCGAGGAGGAGGCUACUGAGACUAAUACUCUUGGAUAGUGGACGUUACUCGCAGAAUAAGCACCGGCUAACUCUGUGCCAGCCGCCGCCGUAA
rnacentral:rRNA from 1 species